rnacentral:rRNA from 1 species
UACGAAGGGGGCUAGCGUUGCUCGGAAUCACUGGGCGUAAAGGGUGCGUAGGCGGGUCUUUAAGUCAGGGGUGAAAUCCUGGAGCUCAACUCCAGAACUGCCUUUGAUACUGAAGAUCUUGAGUUCGGGAGAGGUGAGUGGAACUGCGAGUGUAGAGGUGAAAAUUCGUAGAUAUUCGCAAGAACACCAGUGGCGAAGGCGGCUCACUGGCUCAUUACUGACGCUCAGGCGCGAUAGCGUGGGGAUCAAACAGG